rnacentral:rRNA from 1 species
CCCUUAGAUGUCCGGGGCUGCACGCGCGCUACACUGAAUGAAUCAGCGUGCUAGAAAACCUUGUUUGACAUGGCUAGGUAACCCAUUGAAAAUCAUUCGUGAUUGGGAUCGGGACUUGCAAAUGUGUCCCUUGAACGAGGAAUUCCCAGUAAGUGCGGGUCAUCAGCUCGCGUUGAUUACGUCCCUGCCCUUUGUACACACCGCCCGUCGCUCCUACCGAUUGAACGUUCCGAUGAAUACCAUGGAUUGAGAGUCUGAAUGGGUUCGCCUAUUUCUGCUUCUCGAGAAGUGGAGUAAAUCUUAGCGUUUAGAGGAAGGAGAAGUCGUAACA